rnacentral:rRNA from 1 species
GAUCAUGGCUCAGGAUGAACGCUGGCGGCGUGCUUAACACAUGCAAGUCGAACGAUGACUUUUGUGCUUGCACAAAAUGAUUAGUGGCGAACGGGUGAGUAACACGUGAGUAACCUGCCCUUAACUUCGGGAUAAGCCUGGGAAACUGGGUCUAAUACCGGAUACGACCUCCUGACGCAUGUCAUGGGGGUGGAAAGCUUGAUGCGGUUUUGGAUGGACUCGCGGCCUAUCAGCUAGUUGGUUGGGGUAAUGGCCCACCAAGGCGACGACGGGUAGCCGGCCUGAGAGGGUGACCGGCCACACUGGGACUGAGACACGGCCCAGACUCCUACGGGAGGCAGCAGUGGGGAAUAUUGCACAAUGGGCGAAAGCCUGAUGCAGCGACGCCGCGUGAGGGACGAAGGCCUUCGGGUUGUAAACCUCUUUCAGCAGGGAAGAAGCGAAAGUGACGGUACCUGCAGAAGAAGCGCCGGCUAACUACGUGCCAGCAGCCGCGGUAAUACGUAGGGCGCAAGCGUUAUCCGGAAUUAUUGGGCGUAAAGAGCUCGUAGGCGGUUUGUCGCGUCUGGUGUGAAAACUCAAGGCUCAACCUUGAGCUUGCAUCGGGUACGGGCAGACUAGAGUGUGGUAGGGGUGACUGGAAUUCCUGGUGUAGCGGUGGAAUGCGCAGAUAUCAGGAGGAACACCGAUGGCGAAGGCAGGUCACUGGGCCACUACUGACGCUGAGGAGCGAAAGCAUGGGGAGCGAACAGGAUUAGAUACCCUGGUAGUCC